rnacentral:rRNA from 1 species
CUGCUGCCUCCCGUAGGAGUCUGGGCCGUGUCUCAGUUCCAGUGUGGGGGGCCUUCCUCUCAGAACCCCUACGCAUCGUCGCCACGGUGGGCCGUUACCCCGCCGUCAAGCUAAUGCGCCGCAUGCCCAGCCGCCACCGGAUUCCUCCUUUCGCCCGGACCGGAUGCCCGGUCCGGGCGGCAUGGGGUAUUAGGCCGGGUUUCCCCGGGUUAUCCCCCUGUGGCGGGCAGGUUCCAUACGUGUUACUCACCCGUGCGCCGGUCGCCGGCAGGUGCAGGCAA